rfam:Clostridium saccharolyticum WM1, complete genome.
UCGUCCGUCAGGACGAAUCUGUAGGAAGGUGAAGGCAAAUCUCUGGUCUGUCAAACAGAAGUCUCAGCUGACUAACGAAUCGUCAGUCUUAUACU